AGGACUUUAAGUUAAAAAAACUCCGCGCCUUCAAAGCCCGAAUUGGUCACCCCAAGUCCUG
rnacentral:tRNA from 1 species